GGAAGUAAAAGUUGUAACAAGGUUUCCGUAGGUGAACCUGCGGAAGGAUCAUUAUUGUAUAACCGAGGUGCGAGGGCUGUCGCUGACCCGAAAGGUCGUGCACGCCCGAGUGCCCUCACACACAUCCAUCUCACCCCUAUGUGCACCACCGCGUGGGUCCCCCUUUGGCUUGUUCGGAGGGGGGCUUACGUUUUCACACAAACUUCGUAUGCAGUGUAGAAUGUAUUUUUUGUUUUUGCGAUCACGCAAUCAAUACAACUUUCAACAACGGAUCUCUUGGCUCUC
rnacentral:misc_RNA from 1 species